rnacentral:rRNA from 1 species
UACAGAGGUCCCAAGCGUUGUUCGGAUUCACUGGGCGUAAAGGGUGCGUAGGUGGUGAGGUAAGUCGGAUGUGAAAUCUCCGGGCUCAACCCGGAAAUGGCAUUGGAAACUACCUUGCUUGAGGAUUUGAGGGGGAUUGGAAUACUUGGUGUAGCAGUGAAAUGCGUAGAUAUCAAGUGGAACACCAGUGGCGAAGGCGGCUCACUGGCCCGAUACUGACGCUGAGGCACGAAAGCGUGGGGAGCAAACAGG